rnacentral:rRNA from 1 species
CCUACGGGAGGCAGCAGUAGGGAAUAUUGGGCAAUGGGUGAGAGCCUGACCCAGCCAUGCCGCGUGCAGGAAGAAGGCGUUCUGCGUUGUAAACUGCUUUUGAUCGGGAAGAAAGUGUCUUUGCGAAGACAGUUGACUGUACCGAUAGAAUAAGCACCGGCUAACUCCGUGCCAGCAGCCGCGGUAAU